rnacentral:lncRNA from 1 species
UCAGGACACAGCCCAGCCGGCAGCUGCCAGAGUCACUGCCUAAAGGAGGUUUUGACCGAGGAGCAGCAGAGCCCUCUGAGGGCCCCUGUGCUUCUAAAAUGAACUUGAGUUACCUGGAAAUAAGAAGCUCAACAAUUGUAACAUUCUCGGGCUGCCAGCAACUCCAUGUCUGAAGCCCAGCCUGGAUCGAGCCCUGGAGAAGCCUCGAGGGUGGGCCGAGGUGGUGGCCCGUCCAGCCCUCCUGGACAGGCCCAGUGGCUGGGACAGAGGCCUCCGAGGUGCCGGGUGUGCCGGCCCCACGAUGGUGCACCUGCCGCCACCCCGGUGAGAUGGGCAUCACCCAGGGAGGCGCAGAGAAGCCGGCAGCGCAGCCAGGACUGACACGUAAUCCCGACACCUGGGCCAUCGGCAAGAACUGUCAGCCUACUUGACCUCUUUUUGUGACAAAUCAGAUCCUCCCCCAAGAACAGACCAGUGUCUGUCAGCAUCAACCCCCACAGACACCUCUGCUGGUGUGGCAGGUGACAUUGCCACAGUGGGGCCCUGAGUCAGGCGGCAAGUCUCUGUAACAAACAGCUCCAGGAGCAGUCAUGCUAGUGGGGGGCUCAGCCUGUGCAGGCCCUGGGACCUGGGUAAAGUCGAGGUGCAGCAUCAGAGUCCGGGGCCCCUGCACCCCAGGCCAAAGGUUGCCCUCAUCCCACAGAGCCUUCCGUUGCAGCUGGUUCAGGCCCCGGGGCCAGCCGGGCAUCUCGCCCUGAAAACCACAGGCUCCGUGCAGAGGGGAACCCGAGAGAGGCCUGCAGAUGCCACACAUGAUGCUGGUGUCACAUUGAAAUAGUUUCGGCAGGGGGCGGUGGCGCACGCCUGGAAUCCCAGCACUUAUGGAGGCCAAGGCAGGCGGAUCACCUGAGGCCAGGAGUUCAAGACCAGCCUGGCCAACAUGGUGAAACCCCAUCUCUACUAAAAAUAUAAAAAUCAGCUGGGCGUGGUGGUGCACGCCUGUAAUCCCAGCUACUCUGGAGGCUGAGGCAGGAAAAUAGCUUGAGCAUGGGAGGCAGAGGUUGCAGUGAGCUGAGAUCACACCACUGCACUCCAGCCUGGGUGAAGAGUGAGACUCUGUCUCAAAAAAAAUAAAAAGAAAAAAAAGAAAUAGUUUGACCCCAGAGUCAUUCUGGCACAACCUAAAAAGCCGACUCUUUAACAUUUGAGCUUUUAAAAAUACCAAAUAACCUGGGAAAGUGACACGCUGUCCCUGUGGCCAUGGGGCCAUGUGAAGGGUGACGUGUCUUGCGCAGAUGCCCUGUGUGCGGCCCUCACUGAAGCUGCAGGGUCUGCUGCCGCUCACAGCUCUGGACUCCAGACGUCUGCCUCUCGGGACACUUGGGACUCGAUUCCACAGCUCCAGAAAACCCAGGAAACCCGAAGGCGACCUCAACACCGUUCGUUCUCUCAGUAGCAUACGUGAUAAAUGAAGUAAAAACUCCUUUAAAGCGAGGGUUUGGGGAAACAGAACUGUUGUGUCUCAGACGGCGUUAACCAAGUUGCAAUCAUUUUACAAUUGGGAAACUUUCUAAGAAAACUAUCUACACAUCUGCUUACAAAUCAAAGCCAGAGUGUUUUCUACCGUCAGGAAACUGGGAGAGGCUCAGGAAUGAGGGGGAGGCAGUCAAGAAAUCGCUAAUUAAAACCAGCGCUUUCCCACCCUUCUGGCUGGGAGGGGGCCGGGAAAGACGAGGAAGUGGAAGAGGUCAGGAGAAGGCAGUGAGUGAACAGAUUACUGUCCCAGUCUCCACCUUUGUGUUUAUGUUUGUACUUUUCCAUGAUAAAAGCUUUGUUCUGAACAUCGGCCUCCCCCGGGCUGUGCAGAGCUCCACGGCCCCGGCUACCCCAGUGGCUCCAGUGGCCGACAGGGUUGAUUCUACUCACCUGAGCAGGUGUGUCAGGCCUCUGAGCCGAAGCUCAGCCAUUGUAACCCCUGUGACCUGCACAUGUAUGUCCAGAUGGCCUGCAAGAGCCAAGAAGUCUGGGGCAACCCAAAUCUACAAAAGAAUGAAACAGCCAGCUCCUGUCUUAACUGAUUGACCAACCUUACGACAUUCCAUGAUGACCUGUUCCUGCCCUGUCCCACCUGAUCGAUCGACCUCGUGACAUUCUUCUUCCGGACAAUGAGUCUUAUGAUCUCCCCACCAUGUACCUUGUGACCCCCUCCUCUGCUGACAAUAGGUAACCACCUUUCACUGUAACUUUCCACUGUUUACCCCAGUCCUAUAAAACGGCCCCACCCCUACCUCUCUUUGCUGACUCUUUUCGGACUCAGCCCACUUGCACCCAAGUGAAUAAACAGCCUUGUUGCUCACACAAAGCCUGUUGGUGUCUCUUCACAUGGACGCACGUGACACAAAGUGCUGGGGUUACAGGCGUGAGCUGCCACGCCCGGCCCUCUUUGCUCUUUCGUACGAAUUUUAUUUUUUAUUUUUAUUUUUUUUCUUGAGACAGAGUCUUGCUCUGUCGCCCAGGCUGGAGUGCAGUGGCGCGAUCUCGGCUCACUGCAAGCUCCGCCUCCCGGGUUCACGCCAGUCUCCUGCCUCAGUUACCUGAGUAGCUGGGACUACAGGCGCCCGUCACCACACCUGGCUAAUUUUUUGUAUUUUUUUAGUGGAGACGGGGUUUCACCGUGUUAGCCAGGAUGGUCUUGAUCUCCUGACCUCGUGAUCCGCCCGCCUCGGCCUCCCACAGUGCUGGGAUUUACAGGCGGGAGCCACCACACCGGCCUUCGUAUGAAUUUUAGAACCAGUUUUUCCAAUUUCAUGAAAAAUUAUCUUAGGAAUUAUAUUAAUUUCGGGAAAACAGUUAUCUUUGGGUCCCACGUAAACACAGGGAGUGGGAAACAGUCGUGUGGCAUCUGUGGCACAGAACACAGAGACCAGGCCCCGGCGGCUCUGCCAAGCGAGGCUUCGUCCCGGAGACUCGGCGUGUGGCCUCCGGGUCACAGAAACGGCCUUCGUAGCUGUUUGAUGUCACACCAACGAGACUUCAUUCGUGUUAGCAGAACUUUGGGGACGACGUGACCCUGCGUGACAGCCGGGAACACGGGAGCCAGAUGUGGGGACAGCGGCGAGCUGGCACCCCGGAUGGAAAGCCGGACAGAAAGGCGGACAGAGCUGCAGCCACGACCAGGAGUAGCAGCAGGUCCUCGGACGAGAGGCAGCCCCCGUUCCCGGACCAAACUGAGGGUCGGGCCCCAUAACGAGACGCAGCUGAACUGGGGAGGAAGCACGUGUUUAUUUCCCCAACCGGUUACAGGGAGAAGGCCUGGACAUUAUCUCCAGACCAACUCAAAAUUACAGUCCUCCAGAGCUUAUCUACCUUCCACACGCUACGUCUACGUGUAAGUGUGCAUUCAUCUGAAGACUAAGUGACUAACUUCUAAUCUGUAACUGAGGUCUGAGUCCUGAAGACCUUCCUCUGGAGCCUCAGUAAGUUUAAUCUAGAUGGGUCCAGGUGCUGGGUCAUUACCCUUAUCCUGUCUCCUGCUAAGUCACGGAGGUUGGAGAAGUUCCUUCGGGCCCCCAAUAAGCUUGUUUGUGGAGGCCUGAGGAGUUCCUUCAGACCCGCGAUAAAAUUUGUUUUAUCCUAAAUGGGUCCUAUUAAGAAUUCCUUUGUUAUUUUUUCAUGCUUUAAGGCCCAGGAAAGGGCUAGGCAAAACUCUUGGUAUGCUUCUGUUACAUUCCAGCCUUUGUAUAAGGGCACUGGCUUUUAACUCCCUCAGUACUGAAACUGGUCAUGGAGGCCCACGUUAGUGAGACCUGGCCUACCGCACUCCCACCCAGCCCACGGGCGUGUAAAUCUGUGCAGCCAGACACACCCUCACCCUGCAACCACCCCUGCAAACCCCCCUUCCCCACUUCCCCAUUGUGAGAUGUGGCAGCCCAGGGCGGAGUGGGUAUUUGCCCUAAAGACAAACACCGCUGGAGGCACGGAGCCGACACAGGCGCCAUGAGCUGACACAGGCACGGAGCUGACACAGGCACGGUGAGCUGACACAGGCACGGAGCCGACACAGGCACCAUGGUGUCUGUGGGACUGUGACUGCCGAAGGCCAGAAUCAGCCUACGCACACACACACGGGGCUGUUGACUUAGUCACCCCCCACCCAACACAGCAGCCAUGCCUGGGAGGCCACCCCGCACCCACCAGGAGGGUCUCCAGGAGGGCCUGGUGUGGGCCAGGCUGAGCUCAGGACGCCGUGAUGGUCGUGCCUCCUUCUGUGUCAAAGGGGAGGGGCAGAUAGAAUACGUGUUUUUCUUUGCUUUUAGCUACAUAGUCUGAAGGAUCCACAGGAGCACAAUAAAGGAAGAGCCACCUGGGGCUGAGGAAGAAUCAAGACUCUUGCCACCUGUGAUGUGGAGUGCUCCGUCUCUGAAAGGUGUACCGUAUUAGCUGUGGUUAAAAACAAUUUAAGGCCAGGUGCCAUGGCUCACGCCUGUAAUCUCAGCACUGUCGGAGGCCAGGGCGGGAGGAUCACCUAAGGUCAGGAGUUCGAGACCAGCCUGGCCAACAUGGCAAGACCCACCCCCGCCCCCCCUGCCUCCCUGUCUCCACUAAAAAUACAAAAUUUAGCUGGGCAUGGUGGUGGGUGCCUGUAAUCCCAGCUACUCAAGAGGCUGAGGCAGGAGAAUCGCUUGAACCUAGGAGGUGGAGGUUACAGUGAGCUGAGAUCACACCACUACACUCCAGCCUGGGUGACAGAGUGAGACUCCGUCUCAAAAAAAAAAAAAAAAAAAAAAGAAUUUUACCAAAGACCAGCUUUAGCUGUCUGCCCAACUAAUUUUUCCUUUUCUUCUCCCUUGAAAGCAGCUUCACUAAGGCGGUGGCAUGUCACAGCUCCAUGAUACAGAGCAGGGCUGCCCCGGAGAAGUGUGCGGAGAGCAGCAGCUCAGGGCAGGGCAGCCGUCACAUUUAUACCCACUUUUAACUACAUGCAAAUUAAGAGGUGGGGCAUUCAGAAUUUCCUAGAAAAGGGGUGGUACUUCUGGGUCAUUGCCAUGGAAAGGGGCAGUAACAUCUGGGUGUUGGCAUGGCAAUGGUAAAGUGUCACAAACUCAUGGGCCUAUAGGAGCCAGCUGGCUGCAGGUGGCUGUUCUGACAGACUGGAACCUGCUUACCUGGCUAACCCUUGUCGCCUGAUAGGUCAUCCAAGGAGAGAACUUGAACCAAAAUUUGGGUAAAGCAAUCUCUGUGGCAGUUUGGUUUUAUAAAACAAGACAAAACGAAACAAAAAAAAUUGUUUUACCCUCUUUCUCUUUAGUUUCAAAUGAGUUUCCAACGUUUACAUUCUAGUUAGACCGUAAAUAACGAGUCUUCGCACCAGCAGCUUAGUAACAGCAGGUUUAAAGCAAGAAAGAAAAGAGAGGACCAGAGAGCACCUUAGAACACUGCUUAACCACAGCACAGGUUCACCACUGGAGGUCUGAAUUUUCCUCGCUGUCAUUUGCCCGUCAGCUUAAAACAUGCACAAUGGGCUGUAAUAUGUAACCAGCUGGAGUCCCUAAGAGGACGACAAAAUCAGGGGCCGGGAUGUUGGAAACUGUUUUUCCCUUUUUGGGCUGGGCCCCUGGAUUGAACAGGAAAAUAGAAAAGAAAGGAAAGCGGAGGAGAAAGGUUUGCAGCAGGGAGGAGAAACAAGAAAGGAAGGAGGGAGGCUGGCGAGCCUCCAGCCACUGCGUGGUGCGGGGCCAGCACCCCCUCACCCUUGAUCAUCUCCCAUCAGGGAAAGCCUCCGCACCCCAGACCUGCGCGGUGUGGGAUGAAUCCCUCCCACCUCCGCAGAUCACCUGUCAAGGUCAGCUGUUCGCAGCCACAGGGAGCUAAGGGUGCUUUUGACCAAGAGGAAUAACGCUUUGGUGGCGGACGGGAGGAGGACGUUGGAGGAAGGAGAGAGAGGUCAGGGUGCACACACUCAUGCGCACAAACCAACAGCUGCGUCCAAAAAACCUCCUUUAAGGGGCUCGGUUUCAAACGGCCCCUCGGGCGACUGAACCCGCACUGAGCAGAGGCCCUAGGGUGCCACAAACACAAACGAAUUCAAAUGUAUCAAAUGCCCAACUGGUGUCACUCACAGCCAAGUCUAAACAGAGGAGGGCCUCAGCCACACCCCAAAGAGGCAGAGGGUCCCUGGGUGAACUCCAACUAAGGCACCCAGUUCCAAAGUUUAUUAACUUCUCCAAAGGUCACUUCCUUUGCACCAGCAAAGCGUUGAAGGCAGCAGGAAGAGAAGGACAGGAUUCCCGGACGAAAGCAUCUCGGCGGCCACGGGGCAGCUCCUCCCAUUCCAGCCACAGGCGCAGCAGCCAGGAGCAGCUGGAACUCACAGAGUCAAAGAAACUUGAACUGUUCACGGCCUUUAAUAAUUGAGCAAGGUACUCUCCUGUGAACAAAAUUUGGAGCAUGUUUGUUUCUCUCCCUGGUUCCUCUAGAAUUUGGAAACUAUUUGUGAGUACUCUUAUGGUGAUACAGUUGGUUGCAUCAGUGCAAUAAGAAUCCAUUUUUCUUGGCCAGGCGUGGUGGCUCAUGCCUGUAAUCCCAGCACUUUGGGAAGCCGAGGCGGGCAGAUCACAAGGUCAGGAGAUUGAGACCAUCCUGGCUAACACGGUGAAACCCCGUCUCUACUAAAAAUACAAAAAAUUAGCCGGGCGUGGUGGCGGGCGCCUGUAGUUCCAGCGACUCGGGAGGCUGAGGCAAGAGAAUGGUGUGAACCCAGGAAGUGGAGGUUGCAGUGAGCCGAGAUCACGCCACUGCACUCCAGCCUGGGUGACAGAGCCAGACUCUGUCUCAAAAAAAAAAAAAAAAAAUCUCGGAUACGCUGAACAAAGACAACUAUCAUUCCCAUGCCCUCGGAGAGGGAUUUAACCGAGACAGGAGAUGGGGAGGCAGGUGCGGGACAAUCUCAUCCUAGAAAGACCGUCAGGGGGAAGCUCUUCUGGGCAGCGGCUCCUCAGGGAAGUUCUGCUGCCGCAUUCUGAUGUUACAGAAAUGCUUCCUCGCCCUUCCUGGGAGGUGGUCUAAUGCCACCCCAAACCUCCAUCACUGACAGCCUCUCAGCAUGGGGGAACUGGGUGUGAGGAAGCUGGGGAGGGCACUGGGGGAGGGUACAGGGGAAGAGGCACAGAGGGAGGACACGGGAAGAGGGUGUGGGGGAAGGACAUGGGGGGAGGGCACAGGGGAA